UGGGGAAUAUUGGACAAUGGGCGAAAGCCUGAUCCAGCCAUGCCGCGUGUGUGAAGAAGGUCUUCGGAUUGUAAAGCACUUUAAGUUGGGAGGAAGGGCAGUAAGCGAAUACCUUGCUGUUUUGACGUUACCGACAGAAUAAGCACCGGCUAACUCUGUGCCAGCAGCCGCGGUAAUACAGAGGGUGCAAGCGUUAAUCGGAAUUACUGGGCGUAAAGCGCGCGUAGGUGGUUCGUUAAGUUGAAUGUGAAAGCCCCGGGCUCAACCUGGGAACUGCAUCCAGAACAGGCGAGCUAGAGUAGGGCAGAGGGUGGUGGAAUUUCCUGUGUAGCGGUGAAAUGCGUAGAUAUAGGAAGGAACACCAGUGGCGAAGGCGACCACCUGGGCUCAUACUGACACUGAGGUGCGAAAGCGUGGGGAGCAAACAGG
rnacentral:rRNA from 1 species